rnacentral:ncRNA from 1 species
UUGAGCCGUAUGAGUGGAAACGCUCAUGUAUGGUUCUUAGACGAGAAAGCGGGAGCAAUCCUGCCAACUUAGUCGAC